rnacentral:rRNA from 1 species
UACGAAGGGGGCUAGCGUUGUUCGGAAUUACUGGGCGUAAAGGGCGCGUAGGCGGUCUGAUAAGUUAGGUGUGAAAUUCCCGGGCUUAACCUGGGCGCUGCACUUAAUACUGUUGGGCUUGAAUUCGGGAGAGGAUAGUGGAAUUCCCAGUGUAGAGGUGAAAUUCGUAGAUAUUGGGAAGAACACCAGUGGCGAAGGCGACUAUCUGGACCGACAUUGACGCUGAGGCGCGAAAGCGUGGGGAGCGAACAGG